UGCUACAUUUAUAGCAUUAGGCGGUCUUCCACUUUUUGCAUCUGUCAGAGUACUGAGGACUUUGAAAGCCAUUUCAGUAACACCAGGUCUGAAAAUCAUCGUAAAUUCACUUUUUGAAUCUGUUAAGAAACUUGCUGACAUGAUGAUCUUUACUAUAUUUUGCUUGAGUAUAUUUGCUCUGAUAAGCCUCCAGCUUUUUAUGGGCAAUUUAAGAUUUAAAUGUGUCCUCAAUAAUACUGUGUACAAUGACUCAUUAUGUAAGGAUCCCAAGAUCUAUGUACCAAGUGAUGAAGAUAUCUGCCACAGAAUGAAUGGCUCUUCUGACAUAUUGCUCUGUGGGUUCAGUUCAGAUCCCGAGUAAGUGAAC